rnacentral:misc_RNA from 1 species
GGACAAAACAGACAAAUUACUAUUGAAAGUACUGCCCAAAUUCAUUCUGUUUUAAUGUAUUAUAAUACAGAUAUAGAACCAAAAAAAAAUUAUUAUCAAUCAUAAUUAUUCUAUACUUCACAUGGAGCGUCGCUCAGACACCUCACUAGUUUAUGACUAAAGCAGUUCUUUCUUGAGGAGAUUGAGAGAAGCAAAAAAUUUGAGUCAGUAGUAAUGAUAGUGGCAGAU